rnacentral:rRNA from 1 species
GUACACGCUGUGACUAGCAUAUCAAUAAGCGGAGGAAAAGAAACUAACAAGGAUUCCCCUAGUAACGGCGAGUGAAGCGGGAAGAGCUCAAAUUUGAAAUCUUAAAGGGUUUCCCUUUACGAAUUGUAGUUUAAAGAAGUGUUUUCUGUUGAGGUUUUGGUAAAAGUUCUUUGGAAUAGGACAUCAUAGAGGGUGAGAAUCCCGUAUUUGACCUUUACUUUCAACUUUGUGAUACACUUUCAAAGAGUCGGAUUGUUUGGGAAUGCAGUCCAAAAUGGGUGGUAAAUUUCAUCUAAAGCUAAAUAUUGACGAGAGACCGAUAGCGAACAAGUACCGUGAGGGAAAGAUGAAAAGAACUUUGAAAAGAGAGUUAAACAGUACGUGAAAUUGUCAAAAGGGAAGCGUUUGACACCAGUGUUGUUUUUCUGAAAAUCAAUUAAAGAACUGUUUAUGCUAAGCUGUUUAGACUUUAUCAGCUAUCUGUUUAGUUUUGAGCUUUUCUUUAAUGCACUUUUCAGUUAACAAGUCAACAUCAAUUUCUUUUGCUGUAAAAAAGCUUGAGGAAGGUGGCUUGAGAUUCGUCUUAAGUGUUUAUAGCCUCUUGCCUAUGCAGUCGGAGAGAUUGAGGUCUGCAGCGUAGAUCCUUCGGGGCUAAAUGCAUUUGUGCUAAGUUAUAGCAUUUUAUAGACAACUUGUUGACUAUGAUUUGUCUUGUAGCUUACUCGCUUAUGUUAUUUUACCUACGCUUAGGAUGUUGAUAUGCAUGACUGAUAU